GGGGAGUCCACCCAGACUGCUGAAGAAGAGAUAGAUCACGUGUAACAGAAGAAAAGAAAAACUGAAAGAAACACAAAGUCAGUGUUUUUCCAAGUUGCCUGAUAAGAAUCUCCUGGGGAUUGAGUCAUCUUCUGUAGACAAGGCACUCUGACUGUCUCCUCAACGACAUUAGCUGAAGACAGACAUUAAUCUUCAAGGAGAAGAGCAGCCUCGUGGGAAGGCUCCUGACUGAUUCACAGCCAGGACUAAUAGCGACAGCCAAGUGACCCAGUAUUUGACAGAAGGCUCUAGCCUCUCGCCUAGUAAAUUACUGAAUGCCUCUUUUUCCUACCCUCACCCUUCUUCCCUCGUCUGGAUCCCCAACGCCUGAGCCUGACAAGUGUCACACAGUCCUGUGCCCCAGACCUUCCAACAGGAUUCUUAUGGUCACUUGCUAGCAGCUUGUUCCCACACCUUAACACCCCCUAAAAACAAAAAAAAAAAAACAAAAAAACAAAAAAACCCACUACUUCUAAAAAGGAACCCAAAACCCUGUUACUUUCUUUCUUGGUUUUUGGUUGUUGUUGUUGUUGUUGUUGUUGUUGUUGUUGAGGCAGGGUC